ensembl:lncRNA
UGUUCUGUGAGAAGACAAACUGUCCACUCCGUUUAGAGUUCAAAUCUGUAGUUGCAAAGCCAUAUGGAUAUCUGAUACACAAACUGUGAUCUGACUGCAUUGAAACAUAAUAACCAGCAGAUGUCAGGCAAACAUCAGAAUCCUUUUGAUAUCAAGGCAUCAGAAACGCAUAUCAAUGAAUUUUUGCAAGCAAAGGACAAUACCAAGGAGGCAGGAAGAUAGAGAGAGAAGGCAAGGGA